GAUGAAGAACGCAGCGAAAUGCGAUACUUGGUGUGAAUUGCAGAAUCCCGUGAACCAUCGAGUCUUUGAACGCAAGUUGCGCCCGAAGCCAUUAGGCCGAGGGCACGCCUGCCUGGGCGUCACACGUCGUUGCCCCCCCAUCUACUCCUUCGGGAUUGCGGGGGGCGGAUGAUGGCCUCCGUGCGCCUCGUCGCGCGGUUGGCAUAAAUGCCAAGUCCUCGGCGACGCACGCCACGACAAUCGGUGGUUGCGAAACCUCGGUUGCCCGUCGUGUGCGGUCGUCGCGCAUCGAGGGCUCGAAAAAAUUGCCGGGCUCCGGCUCGGCUUUCAACGCGACCCCAGGUCAGGCGGGGUUACCCGCUGAAUUUAAGCAUAUCAAAAGCGGAGGA
rnacentral:misc_RNA from 1 species